AAUAACUCGACUAUGCAAGGUAUCCUUCCAGCGAAACGUCUGCUCAACAGCUAACGUUAGUGGACUGAUAGCGUAGUUAUACACUUCCUGACUUAUCAGAGUAACAAUCAGGUAAUAAUAGCAGUCGAAGCUAAAAUCAUAUGGUACAUCCUCCUCACCCUAUAUUUCCCUGACCAGCUAGUCUAUUACCCAACCCAACUGCGUUAAUUAUAGCUAGCACUAGAGUAAAUUAUUAGCUAACGCUAAGAGGAUGAUUAUUUCACCUCUAUGGAGCUGUUAAGAUGAAGAAGCCAAUAUAAAUGCAUGGCGGAGGGCUGUAAUGCUUUUUUCGAACACAAGUAAAAAAUCUUGCCAGCUGUCAUAACUGUCAAAAGACCAGGUCUUUUCCAUUUUUUCGCAUAAAGUGUGCAAGGCGAUAUAACAAUGCACCGACUCUUUCCAAACCUGGCUAACUGGCUGGCUAGCAUCCUGGCAAGCACACCGAGCUAUCGUCAGCUAGCUCACUGGAAGCAUCGUUCGUUUUCUAUUGGCUUUGUCCGAUCACAUUUAAAGACGACCAGCUGCCGUCAAGAACUUCCUCUACAGCAUCCGCCAUUGCUGUGUUGACGUCCACGUCUAAAUUGCCGUAAACAUUACCAUUGUGUCGCGCUUGUUAAAUGACACUUGUUGCCAACCUCUGUAAAAUGUGAUCUGUCAUAUCUCCAUUAAUCAGCUAGAUUUGAAUAAUAAACAAACAAACAAAA